GAUGAACGCUGGCGGCGUGCCUAAUACAUGCAAGUCGAGCGAACAGACGAGGAGCUUGCUCCUCUGACGUUAGCGGCGGACGGGUGAGUAACACGUGGAUAACCUACCUAUAAGACUGGGAUAACUUCGGGAAACCGGAGCUAAUACCGGAUAAUAUAUUGAACCGCAUGGUUCAAUAGUGAAAGACGGUUUUGCUGUCACUUAUAGAUGGAUCCGCGCCGCAUUAGCUAGUUGGUAAGGUAACGGCUUACCAAGGCAACGAUGCGUAGCCGACCUGAGAGGGUGAUCGGCCACACUGGAACUGAGACACGGUCCAGUCUCCGACGGGAGGCAGCAGUAGGGAAUCGUCCGCAAUGGGCGAAAGCCUGACGGAGCAACGCCGCGUGAGUGAUGAAGGUCUUCGGAUCGUAAAACUCUGUUAUUAGGGAAGAACAAAUGUGUAAGUAACUAUGCACGUCUUGACGGUACCUAAUCAGAAAGCCACGGCUAACUACGUG
rnacentral:rRNA from 1 species